rnacentral:rRNA from 1 species
GAUGAACGCUGGCGGCGUGCCUAAUACAUGCAAGUCGAGCGAAUGGAUUGAGAGCUUGCUCUCAAGAAGUUAGCGGCGGACGGGUGAGUAACACGUGGGUAACCUGCCCAUAAGACUGGGAUAACUCCGGGAAACCGGGGCUAAUACCGGAUAAUAUUUUGAACUGCAUGGUUCGAAAUUGAAAGGCGGCUUCGGCUGUUCAUUAUGGAUGGACCCGCGUCGCAUUAGCUAGUAGGUGAGGUAACGGCUCACCAAGGCAACGAUGCGUAGCAGACCUGAGAGGGUGAUCGGCCACACUGGGACUGAGACACGGCCCAGACUCCUACGGGAGGCAGCAGUAGGGAAUCUUCCGCAAUGGACGAAAGUCUGACGGAGCAACGCCGCGUGAGUGAUGAAGGCUUUCGGGUCGUAAAACUCUGUUGUUAGGGAAGAACAAGUGCUAGUUGAAUAAGCUGGCACCUUGACAGUACCUAACCAGAAAGCCACGGCUAACUACGUGCCAGCAGCCGCAGUAA